rnacentral:sRNA from 1 species
UGCAUGACGACAGGUCGGUGGUUUGA